rnacentral:rRNA from 1 species
GACGAACGCUGGCGGCGUGCUUAACACAUGCAAGUCGAACGGUGAUGCUCCAGCUUGCUGGAGUGGAUCAGUGGCGAACGGGUGAGUAACACGUGAGCAACCUGCCCCAGACUCUGGAAUAAGCGCUGGAAACGGCGUCUAAUACUGGAUACGAAACUGGCCCGCAUGGGCAUGGUUUGGAAAGUUUUUCGGUUUGGGAUGGGCUCGCGGCCUAUCAGCUUGUUGGUGAGGUAAUGGCUCACCAAGGCGACGACGGGUAGCCGGCCUGAGAGGGCGACCGGCCACACUGGGACUGAGACACGGCCCAGACUCCUACGGGAGGCAGCAGUGGGGAAUAUUGCACAAGGGGCGAAAGCCUGAUGCAGCGACGCCGCGUGAGGGAUGACGGCCUUCGGGUUGUAAACCUCUUUCAGCAGGGAAGAAGCGAAAGUGACGGGACCUGCAGAAGAAGCACCGGCGAACUACGG